rnacentral:lncRNA from 1 species
UGCCCUGAAUUCUUUCUUGCGUGAGAUCCAAGAACCCUCUCUUGGAGUCUGGAUCAGGACCCCUGUCCUGUAACAUCUUCCUGGAGAUCAUGAAGGGACUAUAGUGAGAAAACCCUGACUCAAUGGCUACCUUUGGGUAAAUGUUGGGGUCCUGUAACAUCUUUCUGGCAAUGACAGAAGUGACUAUACUUCGGAAACCCCUGAUCCAACAAAAGCUAACUUUGGGUAAGUGGUGGGGUCUGGUAACAUCUUUCUCUCGAACCACAAAAGGGACAAUACUGAGGAGACCCUCCGACGCAAAGGAAAUAGACUGGAGCACUGAUUGGACAACUUUGGCUUGGCCCCCAGGGCAAUGGUGCUGCAAGCUGGAUCACUGGGGCCGCUCAGGGAAAGGGAAUCCAGAAGCCUGGCAUGCUGACAAAAGGGUGCAGUGGCUCAUGCCUGUAAUCCUAGCACUUUGGGAGGC